GCGGAUGCGCGGGCGUCGCCUCAGCUACCCCAGGCGCCUGGGCAAGAGGGCUCGGGCAGGCGCCGCUGAAGGGAGGGGACUGCGGGGGGCGGGUUAACAGCACCCAAGGCCGUUGUAGGCCUCAGCGGCCCCCAAAGGAGCGGGGACCCGGCGGAAGGCUCGGUGCCUGUGAAGCGCGACAUGGCGACAAGGCCGACGGCACCCGGAGGCCUAGUAGGUACAGAGAAAGGGCGGGGCUAAAGCUGCCUGGACGACCAUUAGACCUCUUACGUCUGGGCGGCGCGGAGACUGCAUUUCCCAGAGGGCCUCGCGCGGCGCGGGCUUGGCGGGGGCGGGGAAAAGGAAGCGCCUCGGAGCCAGUGCGCAGGCGUGAGAGUCCCCGCUGGCUACUUAAGGGAGGCUCGCUCGCUGUUCUUCCUUUCGCGUCUGCGGCGCUUUGUCUUCUUUGUGGUCUGCUGUCUUUUCUUCAUCCGAUGUCGUCUCAACCCUGGAAUCAGAAUUUACUACUGUAUGUGAUUUGCGUGAUCAGACGCUACAGAAUGAAUCUUGGCGGAGGGGUCCCUGCUGGGGCUCAAAGGGAACCACGUGUCGACAGGCACAACCUUCAGCUUCCUGACCUCUGGAGCUCACUGUUGGCAGCAAACAGGCAUUGAAUGGACCAUGAUGGAUCCAGGAUUGGGAGAGAAUUUGACCAGAGCCCUGUGUACAUCAGGGCCUACAUAGGUUGAUGGCAGCCUGAUUGCAGUUUGGUUCAGUUCUGUAACAGGUAAGAUUUUUGUAAAUUUUUGUCCCUUUAGGUGUUAACCCCUUGGUAAAAUGAUAACUGAUUGUGUUGCGGGUAGAGAAGUGUUGGGUUUGCCCAGUUGGGAGUGACUUGGGGACCAGUUGCAAGUAGGGUUCCAAGUUACCUUUUGAGUUGAGUUCCAAAUGGCUUGUAAUUCAUUAUGAAAGAUUGAAUUCUUAACACUGUUAGUUGGAUGCCAACCUCAGUACAUUACUCCAUGGGCCUCUUAAACAUGGCGGACAGACUCCUCUGUCCAGUGGCAAAGAAGUCUGGGUUUGAUCCCUGGUCAGAGAACUAGAUCCUAUGUGCAUCAGCUAAGGCCUGGUGCAGCCAAAUCAAUAGAAGUAAAUAUUUUAAAACUAUUGCCUUGCAUCAUCACAGUGAGCAGAUCAAGGAGACAGUUUUUUACCUUCUGCCUCCCUUCUUAAACAUAACGCUUUGUAUGCCUGCUUAUCCACUUUACAUUCAGAUGCCUCCAUUUGUCCCUAAAGUAUCUUUUGCAUUUAUUUCAUGCAGAAUGUUGAGUAGAAUCAAUAUUUGGCAUAUCAGGAACAAUAUUGACUUUGAUGGGCAGACCCCAGGUUGGAAGCCUCCCUCCUUGGUCUGGUACUUACCUGUACAUCUUCCUAGUUCCUGAAGUUUAGAUACUCCGACAUCCCAAACAAGUAGCCAUUUGCAUCCUAAUGAAGUACUGAUUGUGAUGUGUCUUUCUUUUUAAGGAGUUUCAACUGUGGAGUCAGAAUGCAAGGCCUCUUGAGAAAGAUGUACAUUUACUUCUGAAGCAUGAAGCAUGAAGGUUUGGGUUGUUGUGUAACCUAAGUGUGUAGAGGUAAAAAGCUUGUGGCUGUUUUGGUUAUUUUACUUUGUAGCCUUCCUGUCUAGAGAAAUAAAAUAAAAUCCUUUAAAUGAAAAUGCUGUUCU
ensembl:lncRNA